rnacentral:lncRNA from 1 species
AAACCCUUUCAACUCACACAUCUCAAACAGUUACAACUAUUAGUACUCCAAACCUCUAAAGAAGAGAUAUUUAAAAAGAGAAAUGGAUAACACAUCUACGAAGCUGGUUUCACUUGUUGUGCUAUUGAUUUUCAUCGCGGGUAUUUAAUUUUUUUUCUCUUUGGUGGCAAUAUUAUUUUUUGAAAAAUGUGAAUAUAAUUUGAAAAUAUUUGACUAAUUGUAUAAUCGGACAAUACAAUUGUAGGCGAGACUUCGAACAUCCAAGCAGAAGGAGCAAGAGAUAACAUUUACAUUCCAUGCCUUGUAUGCCUUCCUCCAUGCAUUUGCUUUCUUACAAAAUGUCAUUGUCCCAACGAUUCACCGUUGACUUCCAAACCACACGACGGCCCCAGGGUGUCGUCAGAGAAUCCGCCACUGCCUUCCCAGUAGAAUUGGAAAAAACAAUGAAGUAUUAAUUACUAAUGUAGUCUUGGUCGGGAGAGGAACUUGUAACUUACAUUUGUUUGAAGUUAUCAAUAAUCAAGUACUCUACUAAAUUUCUUCUUUUAUUAAAGUUAACAAAUUGAAAAUGAA